rnacentral:rRNA from 1 species
AGACCGAUAGCGAACAAGUAGAGUGAUCGAAAGAUGAAAAGCACUUUGAAAAGAGAGUUAAACAGCACGUGAAAUUGUUGAAAGGGAAGCGCUUGCGACCAGACUCGCCCGCGGGGUUCAGCCGGCAUUCGUGCCGGUGUACUUCCCCGUGGGCGGGCCAGCGUCGGUUUGGGCGGCCGGUCAGCGGCUCCCGGAAUGUAGCGCCUCUCGGGGCGCCUUAUAGCCGGGGGUGCAGUGCGGCCAGCCUGGACCGAGGAACGCGCUUCGGCACGGACGCUGGCAUAAUGGUCGUAAACGACCCGUCUUGAAACACGGACCAAG